GUUCGGAUUGAAGGCUGAAAUUCGCCUUCAUGAAGCUGGAAUUGCUAGUAAUGGCAGGUCAGCAUACUGCCGUGAAUACGUUCCCGGGCCUUGUACACACCGCCCGUCACACCAUGAGAGUUGGGAAUACCCGAAGCCUGUGAGCUAACUUAUAGAGGCAGCAGUCGAAGGUAGAAUCAAUGAUUGGGGUGAAGUCGUAACAAGGUAAC
rnacentral:rRNA from 1 species